rnacentral:lncRNA from 1 species
UGACUGAAUAGGUUUGGAUUUCAUCCAUCCUGACAGCUACAGAGCCCUGUAGAUAGCUUUUGUUUCUUUCCCCAAAAGAGUAAAGCUUGGCACAUGGGCUUGUGGGCAGAAAGUGUGACUUGUAAUGCUUCAGGUUUGAAUAGAUAUAAACAGGCAGCAAAUUGAAAAUACAGGUUAAAGAGAUACAGGUGGAUGCUAUCACACAAAUAGUAUUUGGUUUUCUGAAAUUACAAUUAUGACGGUCCUGAAUGAUCUCUGAUUCCACUGUAUUAUAAUGUGACAGAUGUAUAUUGCUGAGAUUUCUCUAGUGAUGUUGGUUAUAAAAAAUUCUAUGAUAUUUACAAGAAAAAUAAAACUAAAAGGGUACAUUUAAUAAGGUUGGGGAUACAAUAUUAAUAUAUAAAUUGUAUUUCUAUAUACUUUCAACACGGAAUUUGAAAAUUAGUUUAAAAGUUAAUAUUAUUUAUAAUAGUAUUUAAAAACAAAUACUAAGGAGUAGACUUAAUAAAAAAUAUUUAGUAACCUUAUAUGGGAAACUGUAAAACUCAGCUGAGAGAAGUUAAAUAAAUCCUAA